rnacentral:rRNA from 1 species
GACGAACGCUGGCGGCGUGCUUAACACAUGCAAGUCGAACGGAAAGGCCUCUUUUGGGGGGUACCCGAGUGGUGAACGGGUGAGUAACACGUGAGUAACCUGCCCUUGACUCUGGGAUAACUUCAGGUAACUGGGACUAAUACCGGACAGGAGCUCCUGCUGCUUGGUGGGGGUUGGAGAGGUUAGGCGUUGGGGGCUGGAUUCGCGGCUUCUCAGCUUGUUGGUGGGGUAGUGGCUUACCAAGGCUUUGACGGGUAGCCGGCCGGGGAGGGUGACCGGCAACAGUGACACUGGGACUGAGCCCAGACUCAGACGGGUGGGAGAAGUGGCAGAGAUUGCAAAAGGAGUGGAGGCCAGAUGCAGAAACGGCGAGGGCGGGAGAACGAUGUAGGGGUUGUGGUUCGAAUGCGCUCUUGCCGAAGAUUUGUGUGACGGUAGCGGGUAAAGAAGCACCGGCUAACUACGUG